UUGAAGAAUUUAUUUCGGGAA
ensembl:piRNA 21ur-12025 ncRNA